ACCGCCCCCGCCCUGAGCCCCAGCCCGGCCUUGCCUCGCCCCGGGUUCGCCGCGAUACCUUCGCCAGCAGCCGCAGAAGCGGAGGCAGCGGCGCCCCGGCAGCAUGAAGGUGACCGUGGACUUCGAGGAGUGCCUGAAGGACUCACCGCGCUUCAGGGCAACUUUAGAAGAAGUAGAAGGAGAUGUGACAGAACUGGAACUGAAACUUGACAAGCUGGUGAAACUUUGUAUUGCAAUGAUUGAUACUGGGAAAGCAUUUUGUACAGCCAACAAGCAGUUCAUGAAUGGAAUUCGAGACCUUGCACAAUAUUCCUUUAAAGAUGCGUUGGUUGAGAACAGUUUGACAAAGUUCUCUGACACAUUACAGGAAAUGAUCAAUUAUCACAAUAUUCUGUUUGACCAAAUCCAAAGAUCAAUUAAAACACAGCUUCAGACUUUUGUUAAAGAAGAUAUUCGGAAAUUUAAAGAUGCAAAGAAACAAUUUGAAAAAGUGAGUGAAGAAAAAGAGAAUGCUCUAGUGAAGAAUGCCCAAGUUCAAAGAAAUAAGCAGCACGAAGUAGAGGAAGCAACCAAUAUUUUGACUGCAACGCGGAAGUGUUUUCGACACAUAGCUCUGGAUUAUGUUCUUCAGAUCAACGUUCUUCAAUCUAAAAGGAGAGCAGAAAUCUUAAAAUCGAUGUUAUCAUUUAUGUAUGCACAUCUGGCUUUUUUCCAUCAAGGCUAUGAUCUGUUUAGUGAACUUGAGCCCUACAUGAAAGAUCUCGGUGCACAGCUGGAUCAGUUGGCUGUAGAUGCUGCAAAGGAGAAGAGAGAUAUGGAGCAAAAGCACUCCACUAUUCAACAAAAGGCUACCUUACAGGAUUAUUCCAGUGAUGAUACAAAACUAGAAUACAAUGUGGAUGCAGCCAAUGGUAUUGUUAUGGAAGGUUAUCUGUUUAAGCGAGCCAGCAAUGCCUUCAAGACUUGGAACAGGCGCUGGUUCUCAAUACAAAAUAACCAACUUGUGUAUCAGAAGAAAUUUAAGGAUAAUCCCACAGUAGUUGUUGAAGACUUGAGGCUCUGCACGGUCAAACACUGUGAAGACAUAGAAAGACGUUUCUGUUUUGAGGUGGUUUCUCCAACAAAGAGCUGCAUGCUUCAGGCGGACUCAGAAAAGCUGCGGCAGGCCUGGAUUAAGGCUGUUCAGACCAGUAUUGCCACAGCAUACAGAGAGAAAGGGGAUGAAUCUGAGAAACAGGAAAAGAAAUCAUCCCCUUCUACUGGAAGCCUAGAAUCUGGGAGUGAGACAAAAGAGAAGUUGUUAAAGGGAGAGAGUGCUCUGCAGCGAGUUCAGUGUAUUCCUGGUAACGCUGCCUGCUGUGAUUGUGGUUUGGCAGAUCCUCGCUGGGCCAGUAUCAACCUCGGAAUCACACUGUGCAUCGAGUGCUCUGGGAUACACAGGAGCUUGGGAGUCCACUUUUCAAAAGUAAGAUCUUUAACGUUGGAUUCAUGGGAACCUGAACUCCUAAAGCUUAUGUGUGAAUUGGGAAAUGAUGUUAUAAAUAGAAUAUAUGAAGCGAAGUUGGAAAAAGUGGGAGUAAAGAAGCCACAAUCUGGAAGCCAAAGGCAGGAGAAGGAGGCAUACAUCAGAGCAAAAUAUGUGGAGAGAAAGUUUGUAGAGAAGCAAGCUACAUCAGUACCUCUGCUUGAAUCUGGAACAAAAGUUUUGCCUCCAAGUCAGGAAGAGAAAAGGCAGAGUGGUCCUGAAAAAUCCCAUUUGGCAGGGGAACAAGGUGCAACAUCCCAAAAAGCGGUUGCUGUAAGUAGCGACGAGGCGAGGCGGGAGUCUCUGUUCUGUCCUGAUGAACUAGAUUCACUCUUCUCCUACUUUGAUACCUCUUCAAAACUACGUAGUAUCCGAAGCAGUGACAGUGGGAUCCAGCCGAGCACUGAGGACAGUAGAGAACACCUUGCCUCUACUGUAUCAGCUAACAGUUUGUAUGAACCAGAAGGAGACAAGCAAGAGUCUUCUGUGUUCUGUGACUCCAAGCAGCCCAGUCCAGGACUGCAGUUGUACCGAGCUGCCUUUGAGAAGAAUCUUCCUCAUAUGGCGGAAGCAUUGGCCCAUGGAGCUGAAGUAAACUGGGUCAAUGUAGAAGAAAACAAAGCAACUCCACUCAUUCAGGCAGUGAGAGGGGGUUCAUUGGUUACUUGUGAAUUUUUGCUGCAGAAUGGGGCCAAUGUGAACAUCAGAGACAUGAAAGGAAGAGGGCCCCUGCACCAUGCCACAGUUCUAGGACACACUGGACAAGUGUGUUUAUUCCUAAAACGAGGAGCAAACCAGCAUGCCACUGAUGAAGAUGGGAAAGAUCCACUGAGUAUAGCAGUAGAAGCUGCAAAUGCAGAUAUUGUAACAUUGUUGCGUUUAGCAAGGAUGAAUGAAGAAAUGCGGGAAUCAGAAGGACUCUAUGGGCAGCCAGGUCAAUACUCUACUAAUAACCAUACUGAAAUGCAAUAUAGGAAGUGUAUACAGGAAUUUAUCAGUUUGCAAUUAGAUUCUUAGUGUCUGAGGGAAAUUCAAGAUAGCUUCAUACAGUAACGUUUUUUUUUAUAAACCAACACAUGUUGAAACUUCAUUCAAAUUCACUGGUCUGACUUUGUAAUAGUAUUUAGAGGACCUAAAAGGAGAGUGUUGAAAUGGCAUCAUUAUAGUAGUGUGUUGCUACAGCCAUUACCACUCUAUUUUGCUGGUAGUUGUCCACAGUUUUCUUCCAAUUGUUGUUCCUUUGAAAUUUGCAUAAUGUUAGGAUAUAUAUGACAUUAUUUAACAGUGGCUUUCUGAUCCAUCUUGCUCAGAGGACUUGAGGAGUUCAUCUUAUUGCAGGAUACCAUUCUCCUUCCUGUGGAAUGGUCCUCUUUUUGUUUUUUUAAGAAAAAAAAGCUUGCACACCAAUGUAAAAAGUGUACAUCAAAUAUUUCAAAAUAAGUCCAGACAGAAAUAGGAAAGUAUUAUUUUCUCAAAUUUUAUUUUUAAAUAUUUUUAUUUGUUAAGAUACUUAUAAGAAACAAAGCAGUCAUUCUUGAGGAUGUAUUUUUGUAUGCAUAGUAUCUGGUUAAAAACAAAAUAGAAACUGGCAGACAUUUGAGCCAACUGCAACAAGAAAGUAUCAAAUUAUAUUUAAUGAAUAUGUGCAACUUUAUUCUCAGGCACUCAGUCCUAAUUUACACCAUGUCCUAAUGUGAUAUUUGUGCAAGCCAUUUCCUCUGUUAUAGUAUGCUUCCACAGGAACCCAAUUUAAUGUCAUGCAAAUACCAGUAAUGAAGGCACACUUGAUUGUAAAGUUAGACAGCUAAAAACACCCCGCUAUACCUGGCAGAAGUGAAAGGCAAACCUUAUUUUUAAAUUUAAGUGCUGAGUAUUCUUAGCCCAUAAAGCCCUUAUGUAUUUUCCACUGAUUCAAAAGGAUUAUGUGUGCUUACAUUUCUUACCAGAUUGGGACUGGAAUAUAGUCAAGGGGCAACACUGAGUCUCAUGUCAAAAUCCUAGAUGAACUCUAUUAAAUAGACCAGUUAUAUUUGGUUUCUCCUUAAGAAUAGUUUUUUUAAUCUGUUUUUGAACGAAUCUUCAAGGAAAUUCAAAUUAAACAAUAAAAGUACUCUCGACACUCAGGAAUUCAAAUGCUUUCCUUGACAGCUAAACAGUUAAUUUUAAAGUAUUUGUUUGAUUAUGAGCUCAAAAGAGGAAGAAUUCCCUUCUCAGAAAAUGAGGCAGGCUGUUGCCAGUGUGGCCGAUUUCAGUUUAAAGAUGUUUUCUGAUACAGUGCAUAUUACUUCACUGACAGGCUGAAGGUAGCAAAUGUUGAAGUAUUUUUGAGUUUACUCUCUUUUAUUUUAAGAGGUAAAAAUAAUAACUCUCAGCUUCAAAUAGUAAAAUGCCUUUGUUUUAAGGGAGGUGUGUAUUUUGGCUCAAAAGUUCUGUGCUAAAUCAUAAAUUAAUAUUUUCGAACAUCUAAUUGACCUAUCACAAAUUCAAAAUUAUUCUAAACCAGAAAAUACGUUUCUAUGGUUUGUACAAAAAUCCUUGGUUUGUUACUGAACCUUAGAAAUGUUUAUGAAUGCUUCAUUCAUAAUCAAUGCAGACAUUACUUACAUGAAAAAGUGAGGUAGAGGGGGGAGACUAUUUUCCCCUGAAAAUUCAUCCAAAAUAUUUUUUAGACACAUUCUUCAAUUAGAUAGGUGAAAUAAAAAGCUAGAAAAGUGUUGAAAGUAUUGAAAAUAUUGUGACCUUUCUAUCAGUUUGUAUUACAGUAGAAUCUAGAGAUUGCAGUUGAUACAGUCUCAUUCAGACACUUUGCAGCUGGUAAGCUGAGAUUGACAAGAGAGUAGAGUUGCCUCAGGAGGCAGAGAUUGCCCAAAAUCGGGGAAGGUAUCAUUUAAAUCACAAUUAAGGCCAGAAGCUGUAGCACAGAGUCCCAGCCAGGAGAUCUUGCUGUAUCUUUAGGUAGCACAGCACUGCCCCCUUCAAUUCUUUACUUGCUGAAGCUUCUUUUACAAGUUCAAAAGUCAGUAUUUGAGUGUUUUGAAUGUCUGUGUGUGUUGGAAGGGUUGUGUCAGAGUAAGCACAAAACCUGUCUCUGCUGUCAUAAGGUAUCACACCUUUUUGUGGUUGUAGGAGACGCAGGUCUUUUUCACUACAUAUACAAGUUAAAUUAUUUGCACUACCCUUAUUUUAGAGCUCCAGUGUUCCAAAACUAUGAUUCUAGAAGAAAAUAAGGAUUUUCAAGACAACUGUAUUUUUGCUGGGAGUAUGUGAGGAUAAAUAUUGAUCUAUAAGUUUGCUGUUGUCAGAAUGAAGCCAACUGCCAACUCCUCAGCUCCAGUAAUGCAGCUGAUGAACAAUUGCUAAUGUAGCUAAUGGCAUCGACAUUUCCAAUUUAAAUUUAUCUGUCAGGUUUGAGCUACUGAGAGAAUGUAUAAAUUGCUUUGCAAGGUACAGUUGGUCUUCCAAAUUAUUCCUAGAAUGGAACUAGCUGAAACCAGCUUGUUCCACAAAAAGUUCAUUUCUGGUGGUAGAAGCCAUAUGCACCAUAGUACUGUCUCUUGUAUAACACUUGAGUGCUCACCUCCUGGUGCUACAGUAUGUCUGCCAGCUCUUUGGUGUUAGCAUUGCUACUUUUUCUUCCUACCUUUUCUUGAAUGUAUGAUGUGUGCCUUUUGAGUUACUCUGGUGUUAAAUGGUAAAGAAGUGUUAUAGUAUUUUUGUACAUAAAAUCUGCACUUUAGGGAAAACAUUGCUUAGAAAGGGAAUUUCCAGAAUUUAGUUUUAAAGUAGAAUUUUUAAAUAAUUAUAACGUUUACAGUAUUAAGUACUUUAAUGCAGCAUACAAACUAAAGGGGCACUUUAUUUUAGUCUAUUUUUGUAUGUAAUAUUUUUGUUAUGUAAUAGAGCCAAAAACAGAGCCACAAAGUAUCUUGCAAAAAUAGCUUUUUUCUUUGAAGUUAAUUUGAAAGAACCAAGUAUGGCAACUUGAACUACAAUACUAGUUCACCAGUGAAACCCACUUCUGUAUUAAAAGCAUAAUUUCUUUUAUCACACAAGCUUGAUUCUGCCUUGUGCCCUUCAUAGCUGUUCUUUUGGUGAAUGUUGCAGCUCCAUUCUGUGCUGAUCUCCCAGUGCAGGCAGUUAUCACAAACUGUCACAAUGAAAUGUGUCCUGUGCCUGCUUCAUCUCUAGAACACAGAAUCUCAGAAUGGUUUGGGACCUUAAAGGUCAUCUAGUUCCAACCCUCCUGCCAUGGGCAGGGACACCAUACUUGAAAUUAAAUCUGAAAACCAAAAGGGAAUUUCACUAGAAUUGACUUUUCCUAGUAGAGCCGUAUUGAAUGUAUUAAUCUUUCAAAGUCUGGGAAGAAUUAUGUCACUGCAUCUUUGUAUAAACCCACAUCCCAUGCAUGUUAAAUAUUUCUGGAAGUUUAGUUACCAUUUGUGAAAGUGGUUUCAAAAGAAUGGAGUCUCAUCUCCAAAAGAAUAAUAGUUUUAACAUUGGAAAUGUAAAUUAAGAGAUGGAAAAACAAAACAAUGUAACUGUUCACAGUAGUGCAAAUGUUUAAGCACAAAAACAUUCUUUUCUUCCACAGUCAUGUUGGAAAAAAAAAAAGUCUUCAUGUUCAGCAUACAUGUUGAGAGAGAUUUUGGGUUGAUUUCUUUGUCAUGCUAUUAAUCAAACUGUCAGCAAGAAACACUAGUGCUGGGAUCUUGUGCAAUGUGUGAUCGUCUGUAUGGGGAAGACAGUAAAAUCUGGAUGGCUGCAUUAUUCCAGACCAAACCAAAUGUGUAAUGCAUUUAAUUCCCUUUGAAGGAAUAGGGUAUGGUUAAUGUUUUAAAAUGAAACCUGAACUGAAGGCCCAAAAUGCUGCAACAGAUGAAGGAAUGUGAAAAUGUCCAUUUUAAAGUGCCAAAAGAAUAACUUGGCAAUGACUCAAGAAGUAAUCAUUCCUGAAUGUAUAUUCCUGUGUAGACAGGGAGGGGGAGGAACACAGGCCUGGUGGAAAUUGCUGCCAUCCCUCAUUUUGGAAUAUGUACUAUUGGGUUGUGUUUAAGCACAAAGAGUGAAGAUUAAAAACAAAAGAAAUAUUUCUAAGGGAAAUAUCAUUACUCUAAUAGAUCAAACUGAAAAAUGUAAUGGAAGAUGUAGAUAAAGAGAAUGUAAAAAUUUAUAUUUGCUGAAGUAGUAGACCAAAAGAAUUUAUGAACCAUAAUUUAUCUACUUAGGAUUGCUUUUUUUAUAUAUACUAUUUGCUUGCUGAUUGUUUAUUUCAUGGAGAGUUCUGUUUGGCUGUAAGAAUUCUGACCUCUGUUUCCAAGUAAAUCUUUAUUUAUGCUGUAAUUUAUUUUUCUGAAAACAAUCUUGGUUAGCACCACCUUGCAAAAACAAGGAUUUUAUUCUUUAAUGGCUAAUAAAUUUCUUUUUAAGUUGCUUUAAAAUGCUUUCACUUUUCCUUUCUAACUCUGAACUUUCCUCUAUGUGGCUGCCUGUGAGGUACUGUUUCAGGAGAUGAAAUUUAUCAGGACAUUUUUCGUGACUUUUCUCAAAUGGCAACAAAUAAUCCAGAGAAGUUAAACCGCUUCCAGCAGUCAGAUUCCCAGAAGCCUUAAGUGUCAAGAAGGAAAAGAACCUGAUGCUUAUAGUACAAGUCUUUUUUUACUUUGACAGAAUGAAUUAUAUGCAUUUUGUUAGAUAGUUCGGGUAAAAUGACCACUCCAAUAUAGCUUUAGAUUGUGGUAGCUGGGGAAAUGUAUGAGUUGUUUUAUGUUCUACAGUACAUAUACCUCAGCAGCUGAAGAAGAUGUUUAAAACCCUGAAUACCUGCUAGUUCAGUACAAAAAUAGCACCAGCUGUGAGUACGAAGUUUGUCUGCAGCUCGUACACUGAGCACAGCUGGGUGUGUUACAGACUCCCAAUGGCAGGAUGGUCAGAGCAGCUCUGCUAUCCAGGAUCAUCCACUGGCAUCUGUCUCCCUGUUGCUGUAAAGAAUGUGCCUCUGACAAGAAGGUCUGGGUUGCAUUUUCUGGGACUGUUUGGAAGGGAAGUCAGGUAAUGACAUACUGAGUUGUCCUUCUGUUUGUGGGGCUGUAACUUAACAGAUCCUCUUGUGCCUGCGCUGGCUCUGGUUAGAGGUAGGCUGUUAGUAACAGACAUGGUAACUCCUGCUCUUGCAAGCUCUUUCACAGUGGAAGCUCUAACGCCAGGCUGGCCUUUAUGCUGGUGACUGCAGGUCAGUCACAAAGGGAUAUAUCCUGGGGGACCAAACUCCUAAGAGCAGUCUAUUUUCUUUUCUUUUUUUUUUCCUCUUAAAUUAAACUUUCAAUGCAGCAAGUAUCCUUCUAAAUGAGCAUAUGGAACCUUUCAUGAAAAAUAAACUGAAUCCUUCUGGACAUGAUGUGGGUUUUUUUUGUAGUAUUUUGGCAUCAAAACUUGAAAUUUGAGAAGUGAAAAUAAAUACUGAGCCAAUAGAGAUUGUGUAGAACAGUCAUACACAGGCUGUAUUUUACUUUUUCUUUUUGCUGUUCUCACUGCUAGCCUUAAGCUGAAUACAUAAAGUCUCAUAUGGCGUGCAGCCACCCUAAAUUUAGGACAAUCGAUCUUUUAUAUCAGGCAGCAGUAUCGCAUAUAGGAUCUGUAAUGAUGUGUAUGGGUUGUCUAAACUAAAGUGAGCAUGAGAAAACGUAGGAAUUUCACUCCACAUUUUUGCCAAGUAUUGGGUGUUCUGAGGGCAGAAGCACAAUUUGCUUCAUUCAGUAGUGAGCCCCACUCUAAUAGUGUGCCUGUAUAAAUGGUGUCUCUAGAUAUAUGCUUAUAUAUCAGGUUAUUUAAUACCUAGAUACCUGAAGCCCCAAAUCAGUGGAUGCAAUUCUCUUUUUGUCUCUAUUUGUCUGCCCUAUGGACAACUUUAGCAGAAGUUUUAGAUAAUAUAGUAUCAAUGUGAGUUUUUAAUAAUCCUAAUAGCCGUGGCAUUAUGGUAACCUACUGUUUAAAUGUAUUUAGGAAAUUAAUUGGAUUUCCUCCAAGCAAAGAUAAGCAAAAUUGGGUUAAAAAAAUUAAAUCUGUAAACUAUGGUAAAUUUAAACUUUCUGGCAUGUUAAAUUUUAACAAGGUAUUUCAAACAUUUAUAAUUUUGCAUCAAAUAUAUAAUAAUGUAUCAAAUCUGGAUAUUAUUAUUGUCGCAAAAUUAAUAGUGUUGUAAAAUUGUCCACUAGACUAUUUUUCCAAGCAGAAGAAUCUUGUAAGUUCUUACAGUUCUUGUUUUGCGUGUGGUCUAAUUACGCUAGGAAAAGCAGACUCUGCCCAAAGAGUGCAUUUAGUCUGAAUAAUAAGAAACUUAAGGAUAUCACCUGUAAGCAGUAAUUUUUAGUAAGUUGUUUUUAAAUAGCUGUCUAUGAAAUGAUAAUAUACUUCCUAAUCAGCAGUAUUUAACGGAAGUGGGUGUUUUAGUAGAUCUUAGAGAAGGUAAGAUUCCCAGUGUACAGAAGGGACAGUGUAAGAUAUGACUAUAUAAUGUACACUUUAGACAUAGGUUUUUCUAAAUAUUUAUCUUUUGCAGCAAGGUGAUGGGCAGUAUGUAGUGUGAUUGGCUGUAAUCUAAAGCUGCCUAAAGCUUGUUGGUGUAAUUGCUGUCUCGGUCCAUGCUGCUGGAAAAAGGCCUGAGACACUUAUUUCAACUCUCCACUGGUGAUUUCCUUCCUAGCCACAAAAAUCUCUGUGAAAAAUUAUGCAGGAUGACUUCUCUAGACGAACUUGCUUCCCUGUAGCUCUGCAGAUCCAUACGCUGUAUUCCUGACUCCCAUCUGUCUGGGAAACAGUAUCAGUCUGUCUGUGCUAAGGGACUAAUCACAUACCUGACUGACAUGUCGUGUGACUCUUGUCGGCAGUACGAGAGUUUCAGCGGCUCAGGGAGUACCCAUGUCACUGCUCAUCCUUCAGCCUCGUUCCUCAGUCCUUUCAGGUACGCCAGGAUGUCCAGGAUAAACUGCAUUCAGUUAAAGCUUUUUCCAGGUCAGGUGCAAUACAUGUUGCUCAUCAUAAAAAAUGAAUAUACACCAUUAAGUUACAUGGAAUGUAUUACCCACCAGGCUCUUGCAGGCUCAGUGCUCCAUGGCUUCAGUGGCUCACAGCAUUCAGCCCUCAGUAAUAAUGUACGAUUAUCACCAGGGCUCUGAAGAUCUGGAUGCCAUAUCAAGUUUUGAUUCAAGUGCUAACCUUCUGCUCAGUAAUAUUAGGAAACUUUCAUUUUUAUCACAAAAUUAAUCUGAGUAUAACUGGAAUAGUAAACAAUAAGGUUCCAUUGUGGGUUAACAGGUUGUAGUUUGUACCAGGCAAUGGAAAGCUUAAAUUCCAGUUCAUGUUUCCAUGUAGAUAUGAAAUAUAGUAGGCUUUAAUUGGUGAGGGACAAAGCAGUAGAUUCUGAACGCAUUUAAAAAUCAGCUUUCACGUGGAUUUUUAGUAAUUUACUAGAUGGCCCACUGAAAGAUAGUGUAAUAGUUUUCCUAUUUAUAGACACAUGUUCCAAGAGUCUCUUGGAAAGACAAAUGUUGAGGAACUCAACAUAUAUUCUAAUGCAUCUUGAUUUCAGAGGUAUAACUUAUGUCCAUUGCAUGUUGGUUAAAAUAGUGUCUGUGGUGUCUCCUUAGUGUCUCAAUUGUUUUGACUGUUUAUAAGGUUUCAUGUUUUAUAUUAAUGUCAGUACAGUGCAUAUAAACUUAAAUUUCUGAAUUAUCAUACUGUAUUAUGCCACUGAGUUCUGGAAUUUGUUCCCAUGAAUUUGGGUGAAAGUGGUAGAUGGUGGAGGUGCUUCUUUGCUUUCAAAAGCAGCCCACGUUGCAGUCUGAUGAACACGUGUUCCAAGUGCUCAUUAGUACCUAGUAGGCUUCAGCCUCCUUGCCAAUUAGGACCUAAUCCAGAAAAUCACUGAAAUUAGUGGCAGUCUUUGCACUGAUUUCAGGGGCUCUGGAUUGCAUCAUUCAUGGCUUCUAAUUGUUAGUGUUUUAAAGGACCCUGUAUUAAUACUGCAUUUUUCACUCAAUGGGGUUUUAUAUUUCACCUGUUUGUAUACUGAGCUGAAAUAGUUUUAGAAAAUGCAACCAGACCUUCCAACUGCUGUCAGCAAAUCCCCAUAAGAGAGGAAGUUCUCCUGUUUUGCAGUAUGACAUCAGUACAUAUGUGUUGUCUAGAUUCUUAGUUCUCCUGGAUAGAGCAAAAACUUUGUAGCACUAAAGAAAAAAAGGUGAGAACUAGAAUAAGCAGAGCAUUGAUAUGAUGUUUCCAGGACUUCGGUGCUUCUCUGUAGCCAUCUGUUUUUAAGUGUGGAUGUUACCUCUGCUACUUCAUCAUGAGAAUCUCAAAUGACACAGUGACUAUGAAAGGACCCUUUGAUAGAACUGCAAAUCAGGUAUAAGUACCACGGGCAUGGUAUUUUUACAGUGUCAAAAGGACUGAGCUGAUUUUUCUGAUUCUUUAAUACACAAAGUAUUUUGAGAAUCAGUUUUGCAGUCUAUGACCUCUGCCCAUUCACCAUGGACACUUUUUCCCCAAGUUAGAGUUGAUGCCACUGGUUUGUGCAUCCUGACAGCCGACAUGCCUUGCUGUUGUGCUUGCAUGGAGGCACAAUUUUAAAACAGGGACAACUCCAGAAAGGCAGUGCUGGGGAAAAGCAUGAGUAUACCACUUUGGUAUAUUCCCUUUCAUAUGCUUGCUUUACCUUUCUGCAUACUGUAUUUUCUUAUUUCUCUUCCCAUGGAAGGAGAUGACAGAGAAGGAAAAAUUCCACUCACUUUUCUGUUAGGAUCCCAGAUUUUCCAUGUUUCGACAGAAAUCUCCAAGAAAUCAUCAUUUCCUCAAGCAGAGAGGUUACUCCGUCUGAAAUAAUGAACUUUUAUUUCUUUAUCUAUGCAUUCCAGCAGUAAAAUGUAAAAAACCCUUCCCCUUUU